UAUUUAAAUGUGUUCUUGUCUCUUUUUCGUUUAGUUGUCGGCAGCUAAACUGACGCUGCAACAGAUAAAUGCGUAGAGUUGUGUGGCACCCCUUGGAGUUUAUAGCGGCUCGCAAACAACGCGACGCGAUAAGGCCGGUCAGAAAGUAUCUCAAGGUUAUGUUGUUUGAAUUGCAGCUUCGCGUAUUCUCUUUAUCGCUAAGAGCGCGUAUAAGCAAGAGCUAUUCGCGAUUAUUAUUGUAUAUAAAUUGUCAGCCAAAUUGAAGCGGCACCCACAGCUUGUUCGCCAGUCUCGUCAGCGAUUCGAACGCUCCAGGUGCGCUCGCUAUUUGUUCAGCCAACUGCGAUAGACAUACUAAAUAAUAAAAGUAGAAAAAAUGCGUUUGAUUAUCUUGGAAACAAGCGAAUCGGUUGGGAAUUGGGCGGCCAAGUAUGUGGUCAAGCGGAUCAAUGAUUUCAAGCCGGGACCCGAUAGAUACUUUGUGCUGGGCCUGCCCACGGGUAGCACACCUUUGGGCAUGUACAGAGCCCUGAUUGAGUUCUACAAACAGGGCAAGGUCUCCUUUCGGUACGUGAAGACCUUCAAUAUGGAUGAGUAUGUGGGUCUGCCGCGUGAUCAUCCCGAGAGCUAUCACUAUUUUAUGUGGCACAAUUUCUUCAAACACAUCGAUAUUGAGCCCGCGAAUGUGCAUAUAUUGGAUGGAAAUGCGCCCGAUUUGGUUGCCGAGUGCAAACAGUUUGAGGAGCUGAUCAAGGAAGCUGGCGGCGUAGAGCUAUUCAUUGGCGGCAUUGGACCCGAUGGCCAUAUAGCCUUCAAUGAGCCCGGCUCAUCGUUGGUCUCGCGCACACGUGUCAAGACGCUGGCACAGGAUACGCUGGAGGCGAAUGCUCGUUUCUUUGAUAAUGACAUUAAUAAAGUGCCCAAACAGGCGCUCACUGUGGGCGUCGGCACCGUCAUGGAUUCAAAUGAGGUCAUGAUCCUGAUUACCGGCGCCCACAAGGCCUUCGCUCUCUAUAAGGCCAUCGAGGAGGGCGUCAAUCAUAUGUGGACUGUCAGCGCAUUCCAGCAGCAUGCAAAUACUUUGAUGAUCUGCGAUGAAGACGCGACACUGGAGCUGCGCGUAAAGACGGUUAAAUACUUCCAGACUGUUCAAGCAAAUGAAUCUAAAGACUGUUUAAAAGAAACUCUAAUGAAAAAUAUUGGAACUCAAGAAAUGUUUCAGAAACUGUGAGGGAGGACUUUCAAGAGCUAAACAAAGGGAUGCAAUAAAUAAGAAGAAUAAAUACAAAAGCCUUAUGGGUGUA
rnacentral:misc_RNA from 1 species